rnacentral:tRNA from 1 species
GUCGCGAUCUCGUCGAGGAAGACGAUCUCGUCGAGGCCGGGAAGAUCCGCGCGGACGGCGAGCAGCCCGCCGGUCGCGACGGCGAUCACGACG